rnacentral:rRNA from 1 species
GGGGAAUAUUGGACAAUGGGCGCAAGCCUGAUCCAGCCAUGCCGCGUGAGUGACGAAGGCCUUAGGGUUGUAAAGCUCUUUUGGCGGGGAAGAUAAUGACGGUACCCGCAGAAUAAGCUCCGGCUAACUUCGUGCCAGCAGCCGCGGUAAUACGAAGGGAGCUAGCGUUGUUCGGAAUCACUGGGCGUAAAGCGCACGUAGGCGGACUUUCAAGUCAGGGGUGAAAUCCCGGGGCUCAACCUCGGAACUGCCUUUGAUACUGUUGGUCUCGAGUCCGGAAGAGGUGAGUGGAAUUCCUAGUGUAGAGGUGAAAUUCGUAGAUAUUAGGAAGAACACCGGUGGCGAAGGCGGCUCACUGGUCCGGUACUGACGCUGAGGUGCGAAAGCGUGGGGAGCAAACA